rnacentral:lncRNA from 1 species
UCUGUUUUCGAUGUCUUCUUCCCACAGCUUCCUGCCACUGUUCUGAAUGUGCAAAACAUGGAUGCACAUACAGGGAAGAAGAGGGCAGGCUUCCUUCCCUGUAAAUUCAGAUGUCCUAACUGCAGCAUCAGCAUAGAAGCAUUUUCUUAAGUACAAGCAAAUGCAUUGGUUUUCCAGGAGGACUCCAGGUGUGGAAUUGGAUGAUUUUGAUGAAGAAGGUGACCCCUCACUAAAGUGGAAGCUCCUCUCUUUAGGAAGAAUCUUAAAGCCUAUGUGGGCCAUGAUUCUGGAUAAGCCUUUGCUGUUGGGUAAGGCAAUUAUUUUUAUAGCUUCAAAGUUAUGCCCUAAUAUUUGAUUAUAAUACCUGACCUUUGGCAUAAGCUCUUGUGAAACCUAUGCUACAAUAGAAAUACUAAAAUGUAUCUUCAUGCCAGAAGGAAAAGAGCAAGUACUAGAGUAGUGACAGUACUGACCAAGAUCAGUCAGUCACAGGCAAGAUGAGGAGUGGGGUGGAGAGAGAGAAAGGAAUUGAAAGCAUACACAGAUGAUGAAUAGAUGGUACACUGAUCAUGAGACAGAGAUGGAUGCAUACAUAGAUAUUAGUGAUAGGUAGAUAAUGAAUUAUAUGUAAAUGAUAGGAUGACAGAUAAUUCAUACAUAAUGAUGAUAGGUAGAUAGAAAAUAAAUUAUAGUCAGA